GUUGUGGCAGCGGUAAAGUGCUUGCCUAACAUGCAAGAGACACUGGGUUCGAUCCUCAGCACCACA
rnacentral:tRNA from 1 species